GGGGCCGCGCGGGCGGCGGGGUAGGGGCUGUGGGGCGCUUGAGGUGGGCAGUGCUGUGUUGGACUGUGAGGGGAACUUGGUAGAUCGUUGAGGGUUGUGGUGGGUCUCUGGGGGCUGUGGUGGGUUAUUAGGAGCUGUAGGGCUUGGGGUGGGGUGUAAUUUGUAGCUGCGGGGUUGUGUGGGUGCUGUGGUGGUCUAUAGGGUGUGGCUUUGUGGGGGGCUACAGUGGGCUUGUGGAGCUUUGAGGGGCGUGUGGGCUCUGAGGUGUAAUUUGGGGCUUUAAAGGUGUGUUUUGGGUGCCCCAUUGGUCCGUAGUGAGCUGCAGGAGGACGCCCUGUGGGGCUGUAGGGGAGCGUUGGGGCUGUAGGACCUGAAGUGGGAUGUAAUUUGGGGUCGUAGUGGUGUGGGGCUGUAGUGGGCUACGAGUGUAAGGGGCUGCCCUGUGGGGCUGCAGCAGUGGACACCGUGGAGCUCGGGGUAGGACGUAGUUUGUGUCUGCAAGGCUGUAUGGGGGCUGUGGGAUCCAUCCCAUGGGGCUGUAGGGGGAUGCCCUGAGGGGCUGCAGUGGGUUGUAGGGUCAAGGGGAUGCUCCAUGAGCUGCGUGGGGGAGGGGCUGUAGCAAAACCCCAGCAUGAUGUGACCUCGUCCAGCUCCUGCGCUGAUCCCUGUUAAAUUAAAUUGUUUCACCCAGAACCCCCACCAAAGUGAAGGGAAGACUUGAGGAAUCCCUGGAGCAGUUUGGGGAUGCUUGAGAAAUAAGAAGAGAUAUUUCAAGACCAGGGACAAAAACAAAACUAAAGUAACAAGAAAAACACCAGAAAGCAAGUGAGAAUGCUGCAACAAAAUCUGGCUGCGGAUGAAACAUUCUUGCAGCAGCCUUGGAGGCUGAAUGUCAGCUGAGGAUCUCAAAAGUGAGGGGGAGCAGCAAACGCCUUGUCUCAAGACCCUUUUUCAGGACCUGAGGGAAUGGUGCUUCUACUGCAGCAGUGCAGCAAAAACUUGCAUGCAAGGUACCAACUUCCACAGCUCUACCUUUGCUGCUGCACGAAUGAGGUUUUUUGAAGUCUGAGGUCUUAACGUGGCAUUUAAAAUUUCACUUACCCAAAGCCUUUAUUUUUUUUUUAUUUUUUUCCCUGCAAUUUACCACAAGAAUAUUAAAGGAAAUAGUUUACUGAGGAUCUUACUAAUAAUAUAUGCCUUCCUCCAGGAGAAAAUAUUCUACCUUGGCAUUUGGAGCCUCACUAACAAGCAGCCAGAGAGGAGCGAUGCCAUAUAAAACUUUAACUUCUAAAUAUGAAAUUUUGGAGAUUGCAAUGAGCAGAGAGUGCCAGCUCCAUGCCAGCAGUAGGGAGGAGGCAGAGGGAACGCCAUCAGCUCGCUACUUGCUGCUGCACAGAGCACAUAGCCCCAGGAGUUUCUCUGCCCGGUGUCCUGUUACCACUUGAAUCAAGAUGUGAACGCCAAGCCAGCUUAUUUUUAGCACAAUUUGGACCUAAAGAAGCAAACGCUGGUGAAAUAUGCAGUACUGACAGCCCUGGAAAAUCUUUAUUCAUCUGCAGCACAGGAAGCAGGGAAGGAUGCGAGAAAGCAGAGCAAUCCCAAGCUACAAACCAAGUCUCUCAGCUUCUUGGACUCAGCCUCUCUAGCACUGCACAGAUCCUGGCGGUAGCUGGGAGAGGGUUUUUCCACGCUCAGAGCGGGCCUGGCACAGCAGGGAGGAGUGCGGCGUGCCGCAGAUUAGGACAGCCUGCAAGCCUCCAGCUGAGCUCACUACGUCUGUUGGAGCUCAACUGCAGCAACGGUGGGACUGUAAAAAUGGGAGAGACUCGGAAAACUUGAGUAUCAGAGCCCUGCUCUGCUAAGCUCUGAGAGUUUACUGUGUUAAUACAACAUUGGAUCUGUGCAACUGGGCGGUCCAGUGGCACUGAUGCUGCCCUGUACCACCUCUAGCAGUCACUCAGACCCUCUGCUCUGUGGAGGAACCCAAAAAGAGGACACUUAUGACACAACCAUCAUGCCAAGCAGGCAUGUUUCUAUCCCCAUCUCUUAGGACCCUGCUGAAAUCCUGCAGUGCAUUUAGGUAUCUUCAGGACCUGAGCUGGCUGGGGGCUGGUAAAUCACUGCAGGCAGCAGUUGGCUGGAGUGGAGAUGGGGCCAUGAAGGGGAGCAGAGCAGCAAAAAUGGGUCCCUUCAACUUUUGGGGCACAGGUAGGAGGUCCCUGAAUGUGUGCCAGGAAUGGUAGCUGGGGUUGUUGAAGGUGACCACAGGAGAUGUCCCCUACAUCUCUCUGCCAGGAGAAUGCGCACACAGUGUUAACACGCUUGUCAUCAGUAGGUCUGAAAUCCAACCACGGACAGCUCAGGGAUCUGACAAUUGUUUGUGUCUGCCUUGAGACAAAUACCUCAUUGCCCCCUUUGCAAAUUUGCUUCUCUGCUGCGCGUGUGUUUCGAGUUUCCUCAUGCAAAACCUGCGUGGGUGUUUGGAUAUGUAAUGAGCACAUAGUUCAGGAUGAAAACAAGUUGCCUGGAAGAGCCAAGUAACGCCAAAAAAAUGAAAGCAAUACAAACAACAACAUGGCACGCAGCCAUACCAGCUAGACCGUGGGCCAGCCGGAUCUCACGUACACUCCGGAGCUGCAGAGCCGAUCAGCUGUUGGAAAAAGAGACCUUUAAAGACAAGUGAGAGGAAAUAGCAUUGGCAGUGCAGGCCACAGCAUGUUCUCUUCCAAAGCAGGACAGAGCCAAGGACAUGAGGCAGAGCUAUAACAUUUGGGGUCUUGUUGCUCAGCAAGUCAAAAACCUCCAGUGGGUUGUAGUUGUGUAAACGCCUAUUGUUUUCUGAGCAGAAUCAGAGCACUGGCUUGAUCGGGUAUUGUCACAACAGAUUUUGGCAAUGCUUGCUCACCUAAGUGAGCUCCCUCUGCAAAAUGAAGCCCUGGCUUUAACUCAGUGCUCUGUGCUGGGGAAAUAAACCUGCCUGCCUACACAACGCUCCAGCUGGAGAGUAUCUUCCAAGACCUCCCAUAGGGUCUUCAAAGAAAAACACCAUUAGCCUAUGGACCAGAGCAGGACCAGAGCAAUUCCAAAAAAUUCCCCAAAGUGGCCUCACUAAUUAUUAUCUCAUUUUGUUAACGUGAAUGGGGAAAAAAUUGUGGUGAAGCUGUUUGAAAUGCAUUUUCUGCAGAGCCUGAAUGAAUUUCUGUAUAAAAAGAGGGGUGAGAGCAGGCCUCAAAGACAGGUUAUGUAAUUUGUCCCUUGCUCUCAUCCAUUUGGAGCAAGGGAUCAUCUGUACCUCCUUAUAGCACAGUGAAACAGUACUUCUUUCAGCAUAAGAAAAUAGGUCUAGUUGUGUAGACUCUGAUCCAAGCAUCUGCUCCUAGGCCAUUCACUUAAAUACCUGUCUAAGAACUCUUCACCAGCUCUUAGAGCACCUGUUCAUUGGUUAAAGGCUUGAAUCAGUGAAAGCUUGCUGGCAAUCUGGAAGGUUGAAAAGGGCCUUAAAUACCAGAGCUUCCAUAUGCAUAUUGGCAUUUUUCUUUGCAUAAAUGCCAGCUUUAAAAGGCUUGUUUUACAAAGCACAAACACACUUCUAUGAUGUUUUUGUUUUUUUGUUUUUUUGGUUUUUUUUACAUCAAGGUCAGUAACUCAGCUUCAUUCAUCAGUCUCCAGCUGCAAACAUGCCCCAGACAAUGGAGGAGAGGGUAUCUGAGCCAGGAAGUGCCAUUUAAGGGGAUGUGAGUGGCUCUGAACUGCAGUGGGGAAAGAGGAUCUUGGUGCCCUUGUGCACUCAGCCCUGCACGAACUGAAAUAAGGUGCUCGAGGGCAGGAAGAGCUGCUUAGGUGGGCAUUCAGUGAGCUUCAGUAAAAGGCACCUCUCAAAUGUCACCGCUGUGUUGUCGACUCUGGUGUGAUGCAGCCGACAUUGUGCUCCCCUCCACAAAGGCAGCGAGCGCUCUUAGGAAGCAGAUGAGAUAAUCCCAGCUAAAAUUAAUUUAAAAUACUUAUUCUUCCUCUGGCAGGUGCAUGCAUCCUGUGCACAGUGCUCUCACAGUGACAUGCUUGCACAGCCAUUGCACUCUGCUCAUCUCGUGCUUCAGUGCUUCUCCUCCUUCCAAGUGAAGCGCUUGGGCAUUGUGAUUAUUGCUCUGAAUCACCCAGGGAGGAUGCUUCGUCCUAUGUUUCAGAUGCAAAAUGUGCCUUGGAAUUCAAUAGUUGCUAUAGUGCUGUAAUUACACAUUUUAUGGAGUAGUUAGUCACAAUGGCUAGAGCUCUUGUUAUUAGGCUUGGACUCCUUCUGCUGCUUUAUUCUAAAGACCUCUCUGUUAAACAUCAACUCUCUGCAUUAAAAAUAGUUUGUUUCAGCAUCUGUAUCCCUCCAAACAUAGCCGCAAUUCAUGGCUGGUAGAGAACACGUCUCCAGCUGUGUGGAGGGACAGAGUUUGUAGCCUGCUUUUUGCGCUGUGGGAGUUGUGGUGCUCUGGCAUUGGGUGCUCCAAAAUGUUCCUCAAAGUCAGCUGCAAUGACACCAGCUGAGUAUUUCCAGGAUUCAGGAGUUCUCAAGCACUGAUCUCAGCAACUUUGCUGUAUAUGGUUUGGAGAGGACUUGCACAACCUGCUCGGGGCACCUGUACCAACGAGGAUCCUCCUCUUGCCUUCAGCAGUAUGGAGAAAGUGGACUCCUUGGGUGCUUCUUCUAGAAUAUUCCAGCCUUCCACAAUGGGACACGGUUUUGGUGAGGAUGAAUCCCUGUACCAAGAUGUUGCUGUUCUUAUGCCCACUCUAGAAGAAGCUCAUCAGUAUUGCAAGCAACUGAGAUAAGCAAGAUAAGCACCAUGCUUGACAUCCCUCCCCUGGUCUGCAGGGAUACUCACCAUCCUACACUAUAGGGUUGGCCUUUCCCCUGUUAACCACGUUUUCUGCCCAGGUUUCCCUAUCUGGAGAGUGGAGCUAACUGCUUAAUUGCCUACUUUCUAAGGAGUCAGGCAGGAUAAUUAGCUAAUGUUUGGGUAAUGCGUCAUAGGGUAAGAGUGCUAAGUAGUAUUACUGUCAGCAGCACAGUGGGAAGUGAAGGACUCAAUCUUGUUUUUCAGUUGGGAAUGUCACGGUCUUCCCUUAAGCUCAUUGUUCACAUUGACUGCUGAGGGCAGGGGACUUGGGCGAAAAGUUUCAGGGAGGAGGAUGCCAGGGACAGCAGAGAGCUGUUUGCAAUCCAGGAGAAGAGCUGUGAGAGUAGCUUGGUGUGCUUUGGAAAGAGAAAACUGAAAAUGAUGACAAAGGCAGGGAACAUGCCUGGGGCAGCACAGAAAGGACUCGUGUCUGUAAGCUUAAUUAUUCAAUAGCAACAUCCUCUGAGUCAUAAAUGUGCAUCGGGGAAAGUUUUCUUGUGUUGCAUUUGUUGCAUGCAUGCAGCACUGUGGGAAGCAUGAUUCAGAAACACAUCUAGCUCUCUCUGGGGACUGAAGUAGACUCAACCUAAAAGAGAUUUUGCAUCUUUAAUUUCUGUUAUUCUGCAAAUUACGUUACGGAUGAACUUUAAACCCUUCUCAUGUCCGUUGAUCAUAAUUGAUGAGAUUUCAAUUGUGCCUCCUUGAAGUUAAACAUCUAAGAGACACUUUGCUUAAUAGUUUGCCUUUCAGAGCACUGCAUUAGCUCCCUUGUGCUCCAGUCCGCUUAAUUUAAAGCAAGUGCCCAAAAGUGGUGCAAUUAAGAAAGGAAUCUUGGGCUGAAGCUCUCGAUGCUUUCAAAUGACCAGCAGACCCUUCAGCGCUGGCUUGUUUUUACCAUAGCUGGAACAACACUUUCCGUGACUCACUCUUAAUUAUUCUCUGGAUUCACAAACAAAUGUUUUUAACCUCUUUCUGUUGUAUCUGAGAAUAAUUAAACCCUCAUCUCUGUCUCUGAGCAGUCGUGGAAAUGUUGCUGUGAUCUGUCAUUCCACCUCUGUGAGCCCAACUCCUUGGCUUUCUGGCCAUGCCUGAGAAGCACAUUCUCCUUCUGCCUCUUUUCUAAAUGAGCUAACAUAUCUCACGCUUUCUAUUUAUUUUCUCACCCUGGAAAUAGUCCUAUGCUUUGAUCUAUGCAAAAAGAUGUCUUUUUCAGAGAGGUUGCUGGACUCUCCCUGUUUCCUGUCAAGUGACCAGCCACAGGCCACAUGGAGAAGAUGCUAGCUCCCUUUUCCUCUUCCCAGUAUCAGUAAGCCAGCCGCAGACCAUCUCAGCAGCUCUGCACCCUGCACAGGUGUCUCUUCAGGUGGGAGGAUAAAGGGAAGAAACAUAGAUGGUGUGGAAUCAAUCCUCUCCACCAUUUGCAUUCCUACAUCUUUGCAAGCUUUCCAUCAGGAGUGAUAUUUGACCCCUGGGAAAUCAGAGCAUCCUUUUGUUUGCCAUUCCUGAUGAUAUGAAAAUCAGCAGACACACUGCUGUGAUGAGUCACUUGCCAUGAAACGGGCACAUGCCGAAUGCCGGGCCCCAUCCCAGUGCUCCCCAGGGAGAGUUUGUGCCCAGUCUCAGCUUCUGAAGUCCUCAAAAGCCUGUUUUAUCCUAGAGAACCACUUCCUGUUGUGUCUGUUCCUGUAUUUGUACUAAGUAGGUGGAAACACUGGCAGCAGUUAUGGGAAGGGUAGGGCUUGGGGAAGGAUGUACAUAUUUAUCACGAUCACCUCCCAGCCAUGGCUGGAUGUUCUACUUAAGACCCUCUUCAAUGCUCAGUGUCAAGUGGAAAAUAAGCAGGACUCACUGCUUCCGUGAACAGGGAUGAAUUUUCCAAACCAAAAAAUAAUAUUUGAUGAAAGAAUAAGCAUCAUCUGUCAAGACAGGGCAUUUAAGGAGAUCUCAAGUUGCAUUUUUCUUCUCCAGAUGUUGCUCCAGCAGUAAAUCCACCCAAAGGGCCUCAUCUGUCCUGUCCAGAGCCUGACCUUAAGGGUUACCAUGAGAGGAUGGGAGAUAGCAGCUGUUUGCUGAAGGGUGACACAAAGGAUGGCGCCAUCUCAGCUGUUCCUGUGCCAUCUUCACUGGGUCUGCACGUAUGGGAGCAAGGAGUGAUGCUUUUGGAGCCAGAAGGCUGGCAGGCUGGGAGAAAUGGUGUAGGGAGAGUUGAGAUGGGGCAAGGUUGCUAAUGCUCUUACAGUAGAAGGGCCAUGGAGAUCCAGGAGUAAGAUGCAACUACUGAUGUUGAGAGGUGGCUUUUUUUUUUCCCCAAUAGAUCCAGGAGUUAUCAGCAUGUUACAGAGAAGCAUUUCUGUUCUCUGGGAAAACAGGAUAGCUACAUACUCAGCAGGUGGCUUCACUUCUCAGCACGCUCAGCUUCUCCCGCUCCAUAGGAAGCUGUUUCCCAGGAGCCGCAUAUGGGCAUGGACUGGUUCCUGAGCCCAUUCAGAUGCUGCUUGUUUCUGUGGCUUGGUGAUUUUGCAAUCUGCUUCUUGGGAAGAGGAGGGAGACAAAAGCCCUGUGACUGCUGAAGGCUUGGGAUAGAUUCAUGCUUAUGAGCAGUCAUCCAUGUGGAUUUGGCAGCCAGAGCUCAGAGGCUUGUGGGCUGCCUGAGUGCUAUCCCUGCUACUUUGCCAACCUGCUGCCACAUGCAUAGACUGACUGAGGGGCUUAGGGACCUCUCCACAUAGCUGAGAAUGAGGAGAAGAGGGACAGAAGAGUGACCGAAGUCACCAUGUCCUUCAGCAUGGGCACCUCAAAUUACCCAAUCCAGAUAGAAUCCACUCUGUGUGCUGGAGGAAGGCAAGUUCCCUUUUUGUCAAAAGAAGCAUUGCAGUCCUCAAAAUGGAAGGAGCCUAAGAGCAUGUUGGAUAACCUGCAUGUAUCCCAGCAAGGUCUUUGCUCAUGGUUCGCAACUCCCCUGUGUGUUUUUGGAGCGCUUACAACAACCGGCUUGCAUCCCUGCCCUUCCCCAGGAAUAUGCAGCUCCAAGAAGAAAAAUAACUACUUGUGGAAAUGGAAAAGGAUAAAGUAAGCAAAAAGUAUGAGUCAAGACAGAUUUGCAAGGGAAAAGGAAAGGUGGUGGAGUGAAAAAUAACAACAGAACACUGAUUGAUACUACAGAGCAGUUUCAGGGAGGUGAAAGGUUUGCCAAAUGCCAGCCUGGGAAGUAUUAGAGAGACAGGUGUAUCUCUGGAGUAUGAGAGCCAGGAGGUGUAUAUGUCUUCUGCUUGAAAUCAUCUGGGCCAGGCCAAAGGGGAUAGCCACAAAAUGCACAGCUUAGAAAGUGUCUGGGUAACUUCAGGAACCAAUUGAGGUCUUGGGCAUGGGUGGACUGGAGGUGCCAAGCCUGCUCACAAAGACUGCUGGGAUGGGUGUCAUGUCAAGAAUGAUUCAAGCCACCCACAUCUCCUGCCCGCUUAGACCUUGGCUUCCCGUGCUGCCUGCAAGAAGCAGUCACGUCUCCCUGUGUAGGCAUCUAGAGUACACAGCAAAGCAAAAACAGCUAAAGAUGAAGAAAAGAUAAUUCCAAGAAAAUGAUUGGAUGUGUUAAGCAAGAAUAGCACGUCUUCCAGAUUGUUGAAAGAGGAAAAGAAGCAACAGUGGUGACCUUUUAUAAGUGAUGGAAAACCAGGGAGAUAGCUGGGUUCUUGGGAAAGAGGUCAGGAAAUGGAAGGCAGAGCGAUGGAAAUUUUUACCUGGCAACGCUGACUCUGGUCCCAAAUACAGUGAGGGAAAAGGCAGGACGUGACAUAAAUCUCUGACUGUCUGAAGGAUGAGGGAAUAAUGAAUGUUUACCCACAGGACUAUAAAAAACAUGUAGAUGGAGAGAUUUUUUAUCAGUCUACAAAAUGAGUGGUUGUGAGAAUACAGUGGAGGCAAUAUUUCGUCUCAUUUGUGAAGAAUUUGAUGCACUGUCUCAACACAGCGCUUUUCUAAAAUUAAUUUGGCUUGAAUCUAAACAUCACACAGGCUGAACAUCACAAUUUAGAGCUCUUCUCAGAUGGCCAUGUGAUAUCUUGAUUCCUCCUGGAUAAAGUUGAAGUGUUAAUGACCCCAUCCCUCUGUUGAAGCCUUCUUUCUGCAGACAAAAAACCGCUGCAUUCAUCUGCCUCCACCAACCUCAGUGCAGAUAACACUCAGCAAAACACUGCAUCCUCCAGGAUGGAGGCGGGGAAGUGAGAAAGCCAGCAAGUGAGUCAUCAAGCCUUACGGGCAAAAUCUGCCUGGUAUUUGUGGCGAGCAAGAGAAGAGCCAUGCAAGGGGCUUUAAGCUCACGCCAGUCCUGCAGGGCCCCUUGACCCUGUCCAGGGAUCACUCUGUGUCACCACUCAUCAUCAAGACCUUAAAGUCCACUCCAACCCUCAGGACAUUCUUGUCUCCCUCUCUUGUCCUGCAGUGUGGUAGUUCCAGGAGCCAUCUCUGCUGGCUUUCUACCACCGAAGUCUUCUGCGAGGGGAGAGCAUUGGUUUGUGGCUGAAAUCCUAAGCAUGUAAAUGUAGGCCAUGGUGCAAGAGAAACUGGCUUUCCAACUGUGCAUGGCAAGAAUGCCCCCUCAUUAAGGGAUCAAAGUGCUAUCUAUUGAGGCCGCCUCUUGCAACAUGCUGAAGACCUGAUUAUGGUCAUUUCCCUCCAUGCUUCCACUGCAUGCCUGAGAAAGGGACGUAGUAAUUAAAGUUUGAAUCUCAUUAAAUCUCAGAAAGUGCUUGGCUUUCUGAGAAUCCAAUUAUCACAAAUGCUAUGUAACGCCAGUCAGGGCACAGUUUGUUUUUGGAGUUUGGAAUUAUUCUUGUUAAACAUACAAAUAUGAUGUGAAAUCAAAAUUUCUAGGGGAUGUUGAAAAUCCAAAGAAGGCACAGCUAAAAAAAAAAAAAAAUCAAACAAUGUAAGGGCAGAAAAAAAUACCUUGGAGAGGGAAGGAGAGGCUGCAAGAGCUUCACUCACCGGUAGGAGAAGGGACAGAGCAGGGAAGCCUGAGCAGCAGAAAUUACCCUCAUCAAGCCCAAGGCCCUCCAAGGAUAGCGUGCCUGGGUCUGGAUGAGCACCCCAUCAAGGUAGCAAGCUCUAGCUCCUGGAUGGUGAACUUAGGCACAAAGCCGGAUGAGCAAUGGCCUGUCAUGGCUUAAUCAGAAGAGUGGCCAAGCUCUGGAACAGGUUGCCAAGGGGGGUGGUUGAGUUCCUGGAGACAUUCAGGAAAUGUUUAGAUGUUGUACUAAGGGACAUGGUGUAAUGGGGAUAUACUGAUGGUGGAUGAACAGUUGGACGAGAUGGUCUUGAAGCUCUUUUCCAACCUUAAUGGUUCCAUGACUCUAUGAACCAAGACCCAGUUGUGCUGGCUCACUCUGUGGUCACUCGGGUUUGACAGGUGGAAAGUCCUCAAGUUAAUGGGCAGCUUGGAUCUGUGUAUAUCCAUGGGACUGCAAUGACAUAAAGCCAGCAGUGAGAGGUGAAGAUGCUCUUCUUCUUGCUCUUCAAACAUGGAAUGAGAGAAUAUUCUGAGUUGGAAUGGACCCACAGGGAUCACUGAGUCCAACUCCCGGCUCCACACAUGACCACCCAAAUUUCAUAGAAUCAUAGAAUAGCCUGGGUUGAAAAGGACCACAAUGAUCAUCCAGUUUCAAACCCCCUGCUGUGUGCAGGGUGCCAGCCACCAGACCAGGCUGCCCAGAGCCACAUCCAGCCUGGCUUUGAAUGCCUCCAGGGAUAGGGUAUCCACAACCUCCUUAGGCAACCUGUUCCAGUGCAUCACCACCCUCUGUGUGAAAACCUUCCUCCUAAUAUCUAACCUUAACCUCCCAUGUUUUAGUUUAAAACCAUUCCCCCUUUCCAAUCACUAUCCACCCUCGUAAACAGUCAUUCUAAACAAACAUAAACAAGUUUAAACAAGUUUAAACCUUAUGUCUGAAAGCAUCAUCCAUAUGCUCCUUGAGCCCCAGCCUCUUGGUGCCAUGACCACCAGCCUGGGGAACCUGUUCCAUGCCCACUGCCCUCUGGUGAAGAACCUUUUCCUAACUCCCAGCCUGACCUUCCCCUGAUGCAACUCCAUGCUGUUUCCUUGGGCUUUGUCACUUUUACCAGAGAGCAGAGCUCAGCACUGACAUGGUUCUUCACCAUAUCCUUAUCUCUAAAUUGGAGAGAUACAGAUUUGAAGGGUGGGCUGUUUGGUGGAUAAGGAAUGGUUGGAAGGUCAUAGUCAGAGAGUUGUGGUCAAUGGGUCUAUGUCCAGAUGGAGGCCUGUAAUGAGUGGUGUCACCCAGGGAUCCUUCUUGGGAUAGAUAUUCUUUAACAUCUUUAUCAGUGACAUAGGGGGUGGGAUUGAGUGUACCCUCAGCAAGUUUGCUGAUGACACCAAACUAAGCAGUGCGGUUGAUACAGCAGAAGAAAGGGAUGCCAUCCAAAGGGACCUUGAUAAACUCUGAAUGUGGGUCCUUGUGAAACUAAUGAGGUUCAACAAAGCAUAGUACAAGGUUUUGCACUUGGGUCAAAGUAAUCCCAGAUAUGUAUACAAGCUGGGAGAAAACUCCUUGAGACUAGCCCUGCUGUGAAGGGCUUAGGAUCCUGGUGGAUGAAAAACUGAACAUGAGCCAGCAGUGUGCACUUGCAGCCUGGAAGGCCAGUGGUAUCCUGGGUUCUAUCAGAAGAGGGGUGGCCAGCAGGGACAAGGAGGUGAUUGUCCCCCUCUAUUCUGCCCUCAUGAUGCCCCAGUUGGAGUACUGUGUCCAGAUCUGGGCCCCCCAACACAGGAAAGGUGUGGACCUGUUGGAGAGUGACAAGAGGAGGGCCAUGAAAAUGAUCCAAGGGCUUGAGCACUCUAUGAGGACAGGCUGAAGGAACUGGGCUUGUUUAGCCUGCAAAAGAGAAGACUGCGGGGAAAUUAUGGCCUUCCAAAAUUUAAAUGGAGUUUAUAACCAUGAGAUAAAUCAACUUUUUACAUGAGUAGACAGUGAUAGGACAAGGGGGAAUGGUUUUAAACUGAAGGAAGGGAGAUAUAGAUUAAAUGUAUGGGGAAGUUUUUUUACAGAAUAAAUGGUGAAGUGCUGUAACAGGCUGCCCAGAGAGUUUGUGGAUGCUGUGUCCCUGUAUGUGUUUAAGGCCAGGUUGGAUUGGGCCCUGGGCAAUCUGAUCUAGUAUGUGAUCUAGUGGCUGGCAACCCUGCCUGUAGCAGGGGGGUUGGAGCUUGAUGAUCCUUGAGGUCCCGUCCAACCCAAGCCAUUCUAUGGCUCUAUGAUUCUGUGAUUCUGUGAUUCUAUCAUUCUAUCAUUCUAUGAUAUGAUUGUCCAUCACCAGGGCUGGUGGUGGCUCCCAUGAUGCCUGGCUUUGCUGCACUGCUCAGCUGCUGGCUUGCCGAGGCACAAGGCACUCAACUGCUCAUUGCCUCAGUUUUCUCAGCUGUAAAUGCGUAUUAAAACAAUAAUCUCAUUUGUUAGGGUGCUGACAGCCUCCAGCAGUGAUAGUGAAGAGUUCUGCCAACCUGGGUUAAAAGGUGCUAGUUAAGUGCAAAAUACUAUUAUGCUUUUUGUGGCGCAGUGUGUCUGCCAUACAUUACACUUAUGUAACAUUACUUAGCACUUAGUCGGCACUUCACAUCUUUAACUAAUUAUGCAGAAUCAAGCCAUUUACCAGCAUGAACAGAAAAACAUCCUGUAAUGACUGAUCAUGAAGCUCUGGACUGAUUUCCAGACUUCUCCAUGAGUGAGAAUUGCAGAAGAUGCAAAAUAAGUUUUUGAAAAAGAAAGGCCAAACAAACAGAUGCUUUAAAAGAGAGAAAAAUCAAACUGUGUGACAGCAGCAAAGGACUUGUAGAGGAAAAUAAUGCACUGCAUUUUCUCAUGGAAACAACCCACCAGAGCUCAGCCUGCAGCAUCUCCAAAGCACGUUUAAAAUUCACCUCCUCCUCCUUUUUGCAAUUGAACACAUAUUCUUAUGCACCUCGACUUUUAAAAUAAAUAAUGACAAUUUUUAGCUCUAGCAAUUAAAAGCAAUGCUGUUUACAUUUUAAUUACCUCUUUCAGUGUGACUAGCUCAGCUUCUUUCAAUCAGAAAUGGAUGUAUUUAGAAACAAGGAAGCUCCUAAAUGCUCUCUGCUUUUCUGUAAACAGUAGCCCUGCUCUGCUUUCAGGUUCUCAGGGUGGAAGGAGUGGAGAGGCAAUCUGCUGGAUGGAAAACUCUGCACAGCUUUUCUUCCCAGUGGUGAUUCUCUGUGGGAGUACAGAAAAGGAAGUUUAUUUUGGAAGUGAGAAAAAUAAAGAGAGGUUUUGUUCCAGGAGAACACAAAGAUAAGUAGCAUCUGUGCAGCUUAAAGUGCUGUAUGUGGCUGGGAGGACCAUAUUUACAGCUGCAAAAUGCCAGGUACGUUUUCACCUCCUGGUAAAGCUUCAGAAGGCGUUGGAAGUGCUAGCAAGGCAGUCCCCAAGAUGCAUUUCCACCCACCUUUGUUUUGCGCUUGCAGAAUCACCAAUCAUCUUCCUGCUCAGUGCCAUCUGUGGGCCUUAAUUCAGUAUCGUGCAAGUAGAUGAAAAUUUACCAGCAAUUUCAGUACAAAUAACAGCGUAGUCACAGCUAUGAGAAUACCAGUGCUGUAUAUCAGGUUCUCUAUGCAUCAAACGUGCUCGGUCUGAACCCACUUCGACAAUUCACUCUGUCGUACCCGGCACAUCUGCAUCUCAGAUGCAAACCUCUUGGAGGAGAGACAGAUGUCAAAACACCACUCAGAUAGCUUUUGCUGCGAAGAAAUUCUUCCCAAAUAAACAUCAACUGCGAACAUGUUGCUGAAUGGUGCUAAAAAGAAGCAGGCUUAGAAAUUUGGAUCAGCAGGUGCACACAGUGUGGUUUUAGCAGUCUUCUGCCUUGUGCCCUCACGCUGCUACGGGAAGAGGUGGCAUUAUCUGUGACUCACAGAUAAACUUGGCGACUUGCCCAGGGUAGCAGGGGAAAGUCUUUGGAGAUAGAAUGAAAAUGUAAUGCUUUUCUGGGGAAUGUUCUGUCUAAAUAUUUUCCUUUUCCCAGCUAUUGUCUGGGUCAUAGAACCAUAGAUUCCUUUGAGUUGGAAGGGACAUUUAAAGGUCAUCUGGUCUAACUCCCCUGUGAUGAACAGGAACAUCCACAGCUAGAUAGGUUGCCCAGAGCCUGAUCCAGCCUUGCCUUGAAAGUCUCCAGGGAUUGGAGGAACAGGUUGCCCUGUUCCAGUGCCUCACCAUCCUUACUGUAAAACGCUUCUUCCUUAUGUCCAGUCUAAAUCUCCCCUCUUUUAGUUCAAAACCAUUUCCCCUUGUCCUAUCACAACAGAUUCUGCUAAAGGGUCUGUCCUCUUUUUUCUUGUAGCCCUCCUUCAGAUGCUGAAAGGCCACUCUCAGGUCUCCCCGGAGCCUUCUCUUCUCCAGGCAGAACAGCCCCAGCUCUCUCAUCCUGUUCUCACAGGAGACGUGUUCCAUCCCUUGGAUCCUUUUUGUGGCAUUUUCUGUUUGUUCCCCCACCUUCUUCUCUGGAGACACAGGCCAGGGCACGAUUAGCUUGACCCUGCCAGCCCCAGCAUCCCCUAAGUCCCUGCCCUUCUCUCCCUGCUUAGUCUCCUUCAGCUCCAUCAUAAGCAGAUAAAACAGUAAAACCUUCAAGGGCUUUGUGUGAGUUUUGUCACGUCCUGCACUAGGAUCCACUGAGCUCUUUGCUGUCAAAAUGACAUAUUUGUCUUAAGAAAAUCACUCCCUAUUUCUGAGAUGCUUUCAGAGAAAUCCAUUUGCUGGAGAAAUGGAAGGACCUAAAAGGUAAAGUCCAUGGGAAGGCAACAUUGGCAGCACAUGGAUUGGCAUUGUCACCUCUAUUGGCUUUGAAAAGCAAUGAUGUUUGUGCCCAUGUGAUUGUAUUGAUUGCUUCCCUUUGCAAAGCUGGAGCCUAAUACUAAAUGAUCAUGGAUUCUGCAGUUAAUCACAAAGGUGAGUGAGGCAAAGUGGGAUGUUCCUUCUGGUGUUUGCUCUUUCUGUGGGCUGCAUGUAUGUGACAGGAGCCCCAAAAUACAUCAGCACUUGAACUACUCUUUUCCCCCUUCUACAGACGUGCAUCUGGAUGGUGAAUGCAGAAACACUGAAGCAAGGUAUGUUGUAAAAACAAAAACAACACAGGAACACCUGACCCACAGCCAGGAGCCUCCCCGUUACAUUGGGAACAGCCCUCAUCAGCAUCUCACACUGAGGCAGCUUGAGCUGACGAAGCCUUUGGAAAGCACUGAUUCCUAUGUGUCCUGGAGCACAGCAAGCACAGAUGAUGAUGAAGCCAUCACAGCUGGUUACAGCUUUAUUGCAUGAGCUUGAGCUGCCCAUUCUUUGGUGCCAGUGGAUGGCAUGAUGCUUUGAAAAGGAGCCCAUCAUUGGACAUCAUGGAACCUAAUUGGCACGGUUUGUCACAGCAUCAACACUGGGUAGCUUAGCCUGUAGAGCUGAGGGACCACCUCAGCCUCUCAAAAACUACUGGCACAUGCUGUCUUGCUCUUUCAACACUGCACUGAGAUUUUCAUAUUUCUCCAGCCAAUCUUCCAUUCCCUCUCUUGCAAGGAACAGCAAGAAGGGCAUGUAAAAGGCAAUAGCGAGGCUGGAAAAUCCCAAGUAAGGCUCUACCCCUGGCUGAAGGUCAGGAGAGUGGCCAUAAAUGCUGGCCAAGGCUGGAUCAUGAGAGGCUCCUCAGGGAUGGGGAGCCGUGGACAGAUGUGCGCUCCUGGAUCCAGCUGUGCCACUGGACGUGCUCCCCCCUCCAGACAUUUCUCCCCACCCUCCAGAUGCUCCAGCCCCUGCAGCACAAAGCAGCGUCGCUCACUGGGGUGAACUCUCCAUUGACAGAAUGUUGCAGAGCAUCAUUUCCAGCUAAGGCCAGUAAUGAGUAGCUGGGGCAUGGUGACAUUUCCAGCUGACAGCCCUCUGUGGAAAGAACGUCUGCCUGUGGCUGGAGAAUAACCAAGGUGGCCAAGGAGGAGCGGUUUGAGACAGUUCAGGAUUGCUGGGAGGAGGUCGGCGAGCCAUGCAGCAAAACUAGUUGCAUUUCAUAGAAAAGUGUAAGAAGGGCUUUUAUAGCCAAAGUUGUAGCAGGGAAGCAGGCAAGGAGGGAAGUGAAACUAUGAGCAAACCAAAGGGGCUCGUACUCAGAGCCCCCCUCAAAAUCCCGUCCCCUUAGUUCCCAAAAACGUGUUUUGGGAAAUUUUAGAUUUAAGAAAUCAAUCUGUGUAGGCUGCAGACAUCCUCUGGUAUUCAUCCUCAGUUGUUAAUGGAAGGAUUAGUUAAUGAACAUUUUGAUCCGUAGGUGGCUAUUUUAUAAAUUUUUGGACAACGUGGUCCUGAGAGGCAGAAAGGAAAUGUGGUGGUGAUUUAGAGCAGAAAAGGAUAGAAUAUAAUUCUGGCACUCACCAGCCUAUAAAUAUCGUAGAACAAAUAUUUAAGAAAAAGUCAUGAUGAAAUGUUUAGAGCUUGGUUCUGUCCACACGAUAGUGUCAACAGGGAGAAACUGCAGAAGCCAGAUGCUGAGUAAAAUUACCAGGAGACAAGAGUUGGACUUGAAGAAUGAUGGGCACAGAAAACUUUUCUUCUUUUCCAACUUUUUUUUUUUUUGGUGGGAAGAGGUAUAACGUUAGAGAAUGACAGAGCCAGAAGAUGAAGGGAGCACACAUUUAUGAACAUGUGUUUUUGUUUUGAUUAAUGUAUUCUGCUUCUUUGUCUUAGGAAAUAAGAAAUUAGAAUAAAAAAAAUGUGUUGGUCUGAAACACAGUUUGUGCAAACUGAAAACACAUUGAAAUGCAGUAACUAAUCCCAAACAAGAGCAAGCUGCGUUGAACAAGGCGUGUCCACCAGGGUAGGACAAGAGUCAGGAUCAAGUUUCGUUAACAACUUUGCUGAUGAUCCGAGAGGACAGCACCAGUAUAAAUUGAAAUUCACAGAGGACAGUAAAUUAGAAGCAGAUUAGUAAGUAAGCAGGAGUUUUCUGUGGUUUAGAUCUACUUCUGUUCCAAACACCUGGAAAUUUCCACCCGAUAUGAAGAGGUAUUUCAUGCACUGAAAAAUCUCAUCUCAUUGAGUGACAUUUUCAUUACUCACCACCUAGCCCACUCAGUCUCUUUGUAACCCUCUGAAUGUACUUCUGGGUAUCUUUCACAGGUCUUUCCACAGGUCCAACCCUUCUCUUUGUUAACUUGUGUGACAUUUAGAGACACGUUUCUGGAACACACGUGCACCCAGUGCUUGCAGCCGCCAUCUCCAGGUUUGCUACCUGCCCACUUUCCCCACAUGCAAAGAAAAUCACUUGAAGUCACUCCAGUGAUGGAGUGGUGCGCAUUUGAAUGUAUGCCCCAUCUCCACAUGGCCUCCAGCGCUCUUAUCUGCUAAUACAAAUAAAACUGGUUUCAUAAGAAACCUCCCAGGUCUGUGUUUGCCGACAUGCUCCUGUGGCACAUAGAAUGCUCCCUGACCUCCUUCUCCUUAUGUGACUUGGGUGAUCCGUGGCUGUUACUCAAGACCUUUCAUCCACGGAAUCUUGGGUAACAUCCGUGAGUUUUCUAAGUAGAAUAAGUCAGGUCCCUGGAGCGCUGACCUGGGCUCUCCACGCUAUCGGGAGAAAGGGAGCAGGGAAGGACAGAGCUUGUGAGCCUGUGUCUUCUUCCAUCAUGCCGGCCUGAGGGAACAUCAUGGAGCUGUGUCGGGAGGGUCAGGCUGAGUGUUUGGAAAAGGUCCUUCACCAGAAGGCGGUGGGCAUGGAACAGGCUCCUCAGGGCAGUAGGCACAGGCCCCAGCUGCUGGAGCUCAAGGUGCAUUUGGACAACACUCUCAGCCAUAGGGUUUGAAUUUUGGGUGGUCCUGUGUGGAGCCAGGCAUUGGACUCGAUGUUCCUUAUGGGUCCCUUCCAACUCAGGAUAUUCUGUGAUCUUAUGGUUCUAGACGGACACAGGCUAUUUCUGGGGCUGAUGUGAUAACUUCUGAUCUUCUCUCACAGAUAAAGCCCAAUGUGUGAGGAAAUCAGGCUGGUGAUUGGAUCAGCUUUACCUUACGCGGAGGGAGCAGCCACGAUGGGAAAGGGAGGACUUCAUCUGUUAAUUAUUUCAGCAUCUGCUGCGGAUGAAGGGUAAGGGGAGAGGUGGAAGACCUGGAGAUGGAACAAUAGCUAAAAUGAUCUAGGGAGAUUGUAAGUCACAGGAACCUCCAUCAUCACACACUGGGAGUCCUUCUCAGAAGGUCUUGACCCUUGAGAUGUCACCCCCGAGAUGUCCUCCUUUGCAGGGCCACAGAAGACAGUGUUCCCAAGUGAGUUCAGCUCAUGGAUGAGGCCAGUUAAUGAAGUUGCCACCCAUGGCUGUUUCAUAGGGCAGGGGGACCUAUCCCAUUACUGAGAACAUGGUCUGUGUGAGUCAGCCAUGGAGGCUGUACACUGCAAGGGGCAGGAGCAGGCUGAAGCCUUCCAAAGAGACAAUAUUUAUCCGGUUUGGUUUGUGGUUGCUUGAAGUCUGCUGGAGAAUUUGCUCCCAAACAACCAAACAAACAGAGGAAAAAGAAAUACAUGUGAAUGAAUCCAAA